UAUAAAUUUUUACAUGCACAUGUUUUUAAUUACAAAAAGGAUUCCAUAUGUACAAUUUUGUCGCCAAUGCCAUCGUUAGUUUUAGGAAAUAUAAGAAGUUGUAGCAUUUCAAAGAUAUGCAACAGUGUAUAUUGGUCUAUUUGUGCUGCUUAAUCAUAUCAUUAUUCGGAAUAAGCUCAUCUUUUUAUAUACGUCCAAUGAUGGCUACAGAAGAUGACAUAGAUUUAGACCUUAGAUUAAUAUUAAAAGGAUCAAUGCUAGGAAAAUUAAAGAAACGAAAUUACGAUACGCUACAACAAACAUUACGGAAACAUCAUGGUUACUAUAGAUACAGACCAGAUAAUUUUAUAGAUAGGUUAUUUCAAAUGUUUGACAGAAAUGAUGAUGGUUGUAUACAGAAAAAAGAAUUCGAAACAAUAAUUGGCUUCAUCAUUUCGUAAAUGCUAAACUGAAUAAAUCAACAUUCCAUAACUGUAAACAUGGAAGCAAAAUCCAAAUGAAGUCCAGAUUACAGUUAUAAAAAAUCCGGUAGAUCAAAGUACAUGGAUUUUAAACAUAAAAGGAAAAUUCUUUUUCUAACAUUAUCUCUAAUUCUUUGCUACUGACAGUGAAUGGUGUAAAGAUCUAACUAAUCUGAUAUUGAAGAAUAUUUUAGUGCUUUAUAGAACAUUGGCAUAUUUUUAAGCAUCUAAAAAGGAUUCCUUCUAUAUAUAUGUUAUCAAGUCUAAUGCAAAAAUAAAUUAUGGCUUCUGGUUA